rnacentral:rRNA from 1 species
GACGAACGCUGGCGGCGUGCUUAACACAUGCAAGUCGAACGGAAAGGCCCUGCUUUUGUGGUGUUCUCGAGUGGCGAACGCGUGAGUAACACGUGAGUAACCUGCCCUUGUCUUUGGGAUAACUUCAGGUAACUGGGGCUAAUCCCAUAUAGGAGCUCCUGCUCCGUGGUGGGGGUUGGAAAGUUUCGGCUGUUGGGGUUGGACUCGCGGCUGAUCAGCUUGUUGGUUGGGUAGUGGCAUACCAAGGCUGUGACGGGUAGCCGACCUGAGAGGGUGACCGGCCACAUUGGGACUGAGGUACGGCCCAGACUGCUACGGGAGGCAGCAGUGGGGAAUAUUGCACAAUGGGCGGAAGCCUGAUGCAGCAACGCCGCGUGCGGGAAGACGGCCUUCGGGUUGUAAACCGCUUUCGCCUGUGACGAAGCGUGAGUGACGGUAAUGGGUAAAGAAGCACCGGCUAACUACGUG